rnacentral:rRNA from 1 species
CAUAGGUUAAUGAGGCGAACCGGGGGAACUGAAACAUCUAAGUACCCCGAGGAAAAGAAAUCAACCGAGAUUCCCCCAGUAGCGGCGAGCGAACGGGGAGGAGCCCAGAGCCUGAAUCAGUGUGUGUGUUAGUGGAAGCGUCUGGAAAGGCGCGCGAUACAGGGUGACAGCCCCGUACACAAAAAUGCACAUACUGUGAGCUCGAUGAGUAGGGCGGGACACGUGGUAUCCUGUCUGAAUAUGGGGGGACCAUCCUCCAAGGCUAAAUACUCCUGACUGACCGAUAGUGAACCAGUACCGUGAGGGAAAGGCGAAAAGAACCCCGGCGAGGGGAGUGAAAAAGAACCUGAAACCGUGUACGUACAAGCAGUGGGAGCCUCUUAAUGGGGUGACUGCGUACCUUUUGUAUAAUGGGUCAGCGACUUAUAUUCUGUAGCAAGGUUAACCGAAUAGGGGAGCCGAAGGGAAACCGAGUCUUAACUGGGCGUUAAGUUGCAGGGUAUAGACCCGAAACCCGGUGAUCUAGCCAUGGGCAGGUUGAAGGUUGGGUAACACUAACUGGAGGACCGAACCGACUAAUGUUGAAAAAUUAGCGGAUGACUUGUGGCUGGGGGUGAAAGGCCAAUCAAACCGGGAGAUAGCUGGUUCUCCCCGAAAGCUAUUUAGGUAGCGCCUCGUGAAUUCAUCUCCGGGGGUAGAGCACUGUUUCGGCAAGGGGGUCAUCCCGACUUACCAACCCGAUGCAAACUGCGAAUACCGGAGAAUGUUAUCACGGGAGACACACGGCGGGUGCUAACGUCCGUCGUGAAGAGGGAAACAACCCAGACCGCCAGCUAAGGUCCCAAAGUCAUGGUUAAGUGGGAAACGAUGUGGGAAGGCCCAGACAGCCAGGAUGUUGGCUUAGAAGCAGCCAUCAUUUAAAGAAAGCGUAAUAGCUCACUGGUCGAGUCGGCCUGCGCGGAAGAUGUAACGGGGCUAAACCAUGCACCGAAGCUGCGGCAGCGACGCUUAUGCGUUGUUGGGUAGGGGAGCGUUCUGUAAGCCUGUGAAGGUGGCCUGUGAGGGUUGCUGGAGGUAUCAGAAGUGCGAAUGCUGACAUAAGUAACGAUAAAGCGGGUGAAAAGCCCGCUCGCCGGAAGACCAAGGGUUCCUGUCCAACGUUAAUCGGGGCAGGGUGAGUCGACCCCUAAGGCGAGGCCGAAAGGCGUAGUCGAUGGGAAACAGGUUAAUAUUCCUGUACUUGGUGUUACUGCGAAGGGGGGACGGAGAAGGCUAUGUUGGCCGGGCGACGGUUGUCCCGGUUUAAGCGUGUAGGCUGGUUUUCCAGGCAAAUCCGGAAAAUCAAGGCUGAGGCGUGAUGACGAGGCACU